UUUCAUAUAUCGCUUUAUGGUGCAUGUAGCUUAUUACUUUACAUGCUUAAAAGGGAAGUCCGGUGAAAGUCCGGUGCGGUCCCGCCACUGUAAACGAGGAGCGACUCUUGUAAACCACUGUUCCACCUCGCUGGAAUGGGAAGGGAAAGAGAAGCUGCGAUCCGUAAGCCAGGAGACCUGCCAUGAAGAAGGCACCGCGG
rnacentral:ncRNA from 14 species